rnacentral:tRNA from 1 species
GGGGCUGUGUCUCAGUGACAGAACAUCUGUUUGAUAUGCAGGAAGUCCCAGGUUUGAUUCCAGGCAUCUCCA